AGAGUUUGAUCCUGGCUCAGAUUGAACGCUGGCGGAAUGCUUUACACAUGCAAGUCGAACGGCAGCACGGGAGCUUGCUCCUGGUGGCGAGUGGCGAACGGGUGAGUAAUGCGUCGGAACGUACCGAGUAAUGGGGGAUAACGCAGCGAAAGUUGUGCUAAUACCGCAUACGCCCUGAGGGGGAAAGCGGGGGAUCGUAAGACCUCGCGUUAUUCGAGCGGCCGACGUCUGAUUAGCUAGUUGGUGGGGUAAAGGCCUACCAAGGCGACGAUCAGUAGCGGGUCUGAGAGGAUGAUCCGCCACACUGGGACUGAGACACGGCCCAGACUCCUACGGGAGGCAGCAGUGGGGAAUUUUGGACAAUGGGGGCAACCCUGAUCCAGCCAUUCCGCGUGAGUGAAGAAGGCCUUUGGGUUGUAAAGCUCUUUCAGCUGGAACGAAACGGUGCGCUCUAACAUAGCGUGCUAAUGACGGUACCAGCAGAAGAAGCACCGGCUAACUACGUGCCAGCAGCCGCGGUAAUACGUAGGGUGCGAGCGUUAAUCGGAAUUACUGGGCGUAAAGCGUGCGCAGGCGGAUUGUUAAGCAAGAUGUGAAAUCCCCCGGGCUUAACCUGGGAAUGGCAUUUUGAACUGGCAGUCUAGAGUGUGUCAGAGGGGGGUGGAAUUCCACGUGUAGCAGUGAAAUGCGUAGAGAUGUGGAGGAACACCGAUGGCGAAGGCAGCCCCCCUGGGAUAACACUGACGCUCAUGUACGAAAGCGUGGGUAGCAAACAGGAUUAGAUACCCUGGUAGUCCACG
rnacentral:rRNA from 1 species